GCUGAGGCCUCCACUCUUAAGAGCUCAAACUAGGACUGAGUGUUGUUAGGCUUCCUCUUGUUUUAGAGAGUCAUCCUGCUGAAGCCUCCGCUCCUCAGAGCUCCGCUUUGGCAGUAAUGUGAGUUGUAGGCUCUUUCUGUUUGAGCCUCACUACCUGCCUCUGAUGUUGAGUGUAGCUAGGUCUCCUCUCACUUAGGGAGUCGUUAUGCUGAGAUCUCCACUCUUAAGAGUUCCAGACUCUAGCGGGUGAGUUAGUCUAUGAUGAUUGGAGCUUGAGCCUGCCCGUAAGCCUAGCGUUUCGCUAGCAGGGAAGCUGUUCCUUGAAGUCUUGACUUGGGGAAACAGUUACCUGGGCACUCAUCCCUCAGCAUGGCGGCGUUGGUAUACCAUUCCCCUAGCACCCUCUAGAGGACGCAGCAUGGAGUUCCCUUUCGAAAGGGAACAUCUCAGGUUACGCAUGUAACCAUUGUUCUCUGAGAAUAGGGAACGAGACGCUGCGUCCCUGUGCCAUGCUUCGGCCAUUCUUGGCUGCGUCUCCUCAGACAGAAAAGAGGAUGACGUAUUCUACAGGCGCCGUUUUAUACCUGCAGUCGCUCAUUUGCUUAUGUCAUAGGCUGCCGCCUGCCAGUGUCAAGUUCAUUGUCGUUUUUUCAUUCAUGCUUCAGACACCGGUCACGCUGAAGGUGUUCCCCUAGUGCCCUCUAGAGGACGCAGCGUCUCGUUCCCUAUUCUCAGGGAACCAUGGUUACAUGCGUAACCUGAGACGUUUUCUCCCAACUCUUUAUGGUCAUUUUGGGCUUAAUAACUCAUUUAAGAUGAGUUUAUGAGGUAACUCGCCAAAACCACAUAUUUUUACGUCAUUGUGUGUGUGUUUUUUUUCCCAGGAGUGUCCAUAGGCGGAAAUCCCUGGGGGACGGCACCCCCCUAACUGAGGGUUUACAGAUGUGAAAGAAGACUUGUUCAUCAGGAAGUGGGAAGGGACCAAAGAAAUAUCAUUCUUGGAGAAGAAAAUGGACAUCAGUCACUUAUUAGAGAAAGAUGAUUGUACAAUUUUCUGCCUCUGUGAUGUGCACCCAUUUCUAAAUUGGCAUCUGGGGAAAGUAUUGCUGGCAGUAAAUGCUGUGGGAAUUCUGCUGUCUCAAACCUGUUGGAGUUGGUGAUGGCUGGUACCAGCAUGACCUCCAUGAAAGGGUCCCUGAAGACAGCUCAGCUGGUUUCCAUUGGUUCACUUGGACAUGGAGCAAAGUAUGUAAUUGUGGCGAAGAAUAAUUAUUUUGCCCUUCCUUUGAUUUGUGUCAACUAUCAUUGAGAUUGUGUCUUUUGACCAGGUUUUUGAUUGAAUGAAUUGUUUUAAGGUGAGCAGAAUUGAUCAUUGCAUGAACUAUAUGUGUGCGAUGGUCAUUUUUAUGUUUUGAACAUAUUUUCAUGUUUUUUAUAAGUAUAUUUCUGUUUGUAAAAACAUGUUGAAGAACUUGUUGGUAAUUUGCAUGUUGUGAACUUGCAGACAAUGUUCUAUUUGUUCUAAUGGAUAUUUAUAUGAGUUUUAUGGUAUUUGAUAAAUGUUUUAUAAGAGGAAUGUAUUGAAGUGCUUGUUUAAGUGUUUUAAUAUUCAUGUUUAACAGUUUUC